AAGAAACACUGGCAAGGUUCAAGACUGACCUGUAAAGAAGAGAAUAUCUAUUGCUGAUCACUU
rnacentral:snoRNA from 1 species